CAGCCUCUUUUGUCUCCAACCUCCAUUGGGACAACACCAUAUUAAUUGUCGCUGACAAUAUUUAAUAUUUCUUCUCUUUAGACAACGUCACAAUGAAGGUCGUCGCCUCAGCACUGACCAUUUCAGAACCCUCAUGUCCAAUUGAUAUACUUUAGGAUGUAAAUGUAGUAGUGAUAAGUUAUGUAUGACCUUGUAGGAUUAGUAUAGAUAGUUAUAGUUCAGUUAAAUGUUAUUGUUUUUGUUAAACUUCUAUGACUUUAUAGAAGUGCAUGAAGAUAAGUUGUAAAUAAUAAAGGGAAAAGACAUCCCAAUAUAUACUCACAUAAA
rnacentral:lncRNA from 1 species